rnacentral:lncRNA from 1 species
CAUGAUUUGAACAGAGUCUCCCUGAGCUCUUUUCGGAACAGCUGCCUCACUUUUUCCAUCUUUUUGAAUGCAGAUUCUUUUUGGUGUUAUUCUGUUUCUGUUGCAAGACUACAUUUGGGUGUGUGUGAGGAAGAUAUCUUUUAGUUUAAUAUCUUAGUUCAUUUUCUGUUGUUUGUAACAGAAUACCUGACACUGGGUUAUUUAUUUAAUAAGAAAGGUAUUUCUUACAGGUGUGGAGUCUAAGAAGUCCAAGGUUGAGGAGCUGCAUCUGAUGAGAGCCUUCUUGCUGGUUGGGAUCCUCUGCAGAGUCUUGAGUUGGGCAUUAAAAACUGUAUCACAGACACAUGAAUAUUGUAGGCCUCAUCUCCAAGUAUUACCACACUGAGGGUCAAGACUUCAACAUAUGGUGGAGAGCAGGAGGUAUUGUGUACUUUUCAAAAUAAGAUCUCCGACAUAGCUGUUUAUCUGGAGUCCCGUGUUUAAUCCUGACAAGAAUGUUGUGGAUGUUGGCUGAAGAAAGGCUGGAGAGCAAUGGUGCAAUCGUGGCUCACUGCAACCUCCGCCUCCUGGAUUC